AUCUCAUUUGUCCUACUUGAGAAAACUCAGACAAGACCUGUUCCUUGAGAAGGCACAGAGGCAAAGCAAGGGACAGCUCUCCGGGAUGCCUGCAUCCUUCCCAGCCUCUGCUGCCAUGUAUUGUGGAUUUGGACUGUGAUUUUCCUUAUACUAAGGUACUAUUCUCUAUAGAUGUGUCUGUAGCAAAAGAGGGACGAAGAAAUGGGAAAGGGGAUUUAAAUGGUGGAUGUGAAGAAAGUGUC
rnacentral:lncRNA from 1 species